rnacentral:tRNA from 1 species
GAGGCCAUAGCUUAACUGGUAGAGCGCCAGAUUGUGGCUCUGGUAAGUGCGGGUUCGAUUCCCGUUGGCCUCC